rnacentral:rRNA from 1 species
GACGAACGCUGGCGGCGUGCCUAACACAUGCAAGUCGAACGGAACUGUUUUGAAAGAUUUCUUCGGAAUGAAUUUGAUUUAGUUUAGUGGCGGACGGGUGAGUAACGCGUGAGUAACCUGCCUUCAAGAGGGGGAUAACAUUCUGAAAAGAAUGCUAAUACCGCAUGACAUAUCGGAACCACAUGGUUCUGAUAUCAAAGAUUUUAUCGCUUGAAGAUGGACUCGCGUCCGAUUAGUUAGUUGGUGAGGUAACGGCUCACCAAGACCGCGAUCGGUAGCCGGACUGAGAGGUUGAACGGCCACAUUGGGACUGAGACACGGCCCAGACUCCUACGGGAGGCAGCAGUGGGGGAUAUUGCGCAAUGGGGGCAACCCUGACGCAGCAACGCCGCGUGAAGGAUGAAGGUUUUCGGAUUGUAAACUUCUUUUAUUAAGGACGAAACUUGACGGUACUUAAUGAAUAAGCUCCGGCUA